UUCCGGUCUUAGCGCUGGUGUUUACAACGGAAGCUCUGUCCCAAACUCCGGUUCUGGCGCUGGGGUUCUGAAACUGGUGGUGUUGCGGGUCUGCAGCUGGUUGCUAUUGGCGCCAAUAGACAUAAGAAGAAGAACAACAACAAACUGAAUGUCAGAAUGGGAAAGAAAGGUGAUUUAAGCGAUUUUGAGCGUGGCAUGAUUGUUGGUGCCAGACGGGCUGGUCUGAGUAUUUCACAAUCUGCUCAGUUACUGGGAUUUUCACGCACAACCAUUUCUAGGGUUCACAACGAAUGGUGUGCAAAGGGAAAAACAUCCAGUACGCGGCAGUCCUGUGGGCGAAAAUGCCUUGUUGAUGCUAGAGGUCAGAGGAGAAUGGACCGACUGAUUCAAGCUGAUAGAGGAGCAACUUUGACUGAAAUAACUAUUCGUUACAAUCAAGGGAUGAAGCAAAGCAUUUGUGAAGCCACAACACGCACAACCUUGAGGCGGAUGGGCUACUACAACAGCCACCGGGUUUCACUCAUCUCCACUACAACUAGGAAAAAGAAGCUACAAAUGGCAACUUAGGUUUUGCAAGCAUGGACCGACUGUUUCAAAGCAAGUUGGAUCGUCUUAUCUGGACCCUACAGAACAUCCUACAGCCCAUGUCUUGCUGUUUUAUCCACCUCUGUUUUUCUUUUUUAAAGUGUAAUAAAGACUUUACAGUGUUCUCCAGAUGUUGAAUAAUGAAGAAUGGCUAUACUAGGCCAUCUUUUAUGUUUUUUAUAAAAACAUAAAAGUACUACAGUGACCUGACUGACUUACUACAGGUGAAAUUUCCACAAUAACCCCCAUACUAUACAUGCUAUUGUCAAAUAUGUUUAUGGAAAAUAACCGUAAAUGACCGUUGCUAUUUUUCCACGUUCCAAAGGCUGUAGUGCUUUUCCAGUGACCUGACUGACUUACUACUGGUGAAAUUUUGACAAUAACUCCCAAACUGUAUGUACAAUUAUAAAAUGUUCAUUAAAAAAUACUGUUUUCCCCCUUAA